rnacentral:rRNA from 1 species
GACGAACGCUGGCGGCGUGCUUAACACAUGCAAGUCGAACGGAAAGGCCCUGCUUUUGUGGGGUGCUCGAGUGGCGAACGGGUGAGUAACACGUGAGUAACCUGCCCUUGACUUUGGGAUAACUUCAGGAAACUGGGGCUAAUACCGGAUAGGAGCUCCUGCUGCAUGGUGGGGGUUGGAAAGUUUCGGCGGUUGGGGAUGGACUCGCGGCUUAUCAGCUUGUUGGUGGGGUAGUGGCUUACCAAGGCUUUGACGGGUAGCCGGCCUGAGAGGGUGACCGGCCACAUUGGGACUGAGAUACGGCCCAGACUCCUACGGGAGGCAGCAGUGGGGAAUAUUGCACAAUGGGCGGAAGCCUGAUGCAGCAACGCCGCGUGCGGGAUGACGGCCUUCGGGUUGUAAACCGCUUUCGCCUGUGACGAAGCGUGAGUGAUGGUAGUGGGUAAAGAAGCACCGGCUAACUACGUG